rnacentral:rRNA from 1 species
GUGUCAGCCGCCGCGGUAAGACGUAGGAUGCGAGCGUUGUCCGGAUUUAUUGGGCGUAAAGAGUUCGUAGGCGGUUCGUUAAGUCUGGUGUUAAAGACCGGGGCUCAACCUCGGGAUCGCACUGGAUACUGGCGGACUGGAGUGCAGUAGAGGCAAGCGGAAUUCCCAGUGUAGCGGUGAAAUGCGUAGAUAUUGGGAAGAACACCGGUGGCGCAAGCGGCUUGCUGGGCUGUUACUGACGCUGAGGAACGAAAGCUAGGGGAGCGAAUGGGAUUAGAUACCCCAGUAGUCC